rnacentral:lncRNA from 1 species
UGAUUCAUUACCAUCUCUAUAUAUAAUAUGAAAUAUGUAUGCCGUUUUCUUGCAAUUACCUUGAGCAACAAGAGGAGGUGUAAUUUAUUAGAAAUAUUUUAAAAAAGUUAAUGGACAAAGAUUUUACAAAAGGUAAAUACCAUGGACCAUAAGACCUUGGAUGGCGAAACGUAAUUUACCUAUCAACUAGAAAAUGAUUGUAAAAGUCUUGCUAAAAAUGGUCCCAUAUUCGAAGAAAUGAUAAAUUAGAUCUUUUGGGAAAUUUCUUAUAUUAGUGA